rnacentral:rRNA from 1 species
AGUGAACGCUGGCGGCGGGCCUAACACAUGCAAGUCGAGCGGCAGCGGGUCCUUCGGGAUGCCGGCGAGCGGCGGACGGGUGAGGAAUGCAUCGGAAUCUGCCCUGUCGUGGGGGAUAACCUAGGGAAACUUAGGCUAAUACCGCAUACGACCCACGGGUGAAAGCGGGGGAUCGCAAGACCUCGCGCGAUAGGAUGAGCCGAUGUCCGAUUAGCUAGUUGGCGGGGUAAAGGCCCACCAAGGCGACGAUCGGUAGCUGGUCUGAGAGGAUGAUCAGCCACACUGGGACUGAGACACGGCCCAGACUCCUACGGGAGGCAGCAGUGGGGAAUAUUGGACAAUGGGCGCAAGCCUGAUCCAGCCAUGCCGCGUGGGUGAAGAAGGCCUUCGGGUUGUAAAGCCCUUUUGUCCGGGAAGAAAUCGUCUGGGCUAAUACCCCGGGCGGAUGACGGUACCGGAAGAAUAAGCACCGGCUAACUUCGUG